rnacentral:rRNA from 1 species
CCUACGGGAGGCUGCAGUGAGGAAUAUUGGUCAAUGGGCGUAAGCCUGAACCAGCCAAGUCGCGUGAGGGAUGAAGGUUCUAUGGAUCGUAAACCUCUUUUAUAAGGGAAUAAAGUGCGGGACGUGUCCCGUUUUGUAUGUACCUUAUGAAUAAGGAUCGGCUAACUCCGUGCCAGCAGCCGCGGUAAUACGGAGGAUCCGAGCGUUAUCCGGGUUUAUUGGGUUUAAAGGGUGCGUAGGCGGCCUUUUCAGUCAGCGGUGAAAGUCUGUGGCUCAACUCCAUCCAGCCGUUGAAACUGAUGAUCUUGAGUGGGCGAGAAGUAUGCGGAAUGCGUGGUGUAGCGGUGAAAUGCAGAGAUAUCACGCAGAACUCCGAUUGCGAAGGCAGCAUACCGGCGCCCGACUGACGCUGAAGCACGAAAGCGUGGGUAUCGAACAGGAUUAGAUACCCGUGUAGUC